UUCUACAGUUCUAUAAACUCUAGAUGUAAGAAAAAAUGAACACAAUCUUUUGAGUAGAGAUCACCCUGGGUGGAAGCCAGAGACAAGUCUUAGCCUCGGGCGCUGGGGAGGCUCCGCAGACCUGCUGAUUGGGAACCGAUAUGGCUGCGACUCUGGGCAGCGGAGAGCGCUGGACCGAAGCUUACAUUGAUGCAGUUAGAAGAAACAAAUACCCAGAAGAUAGACUUCCUAAAAGUCAUGAUCCCUGUGGGUGCUGUAACUGCAUGAAAGUGCAAAAGGAAAAGAAGUCUGAGCAUGAGUGGAAUGCAACCCGACAGGGUGAGGGAAGUGCCACUUACACUGAGGAACAGCUGCUCGGGGUACAAAGG